rnacentral:rRNA from 1 species
AGGCAGCAGUGGGGAAUAUUGCACAAUGGAGGAAACUCUGAUGCAGCAACGCCGCGUGAAGGAUGAAGGUUUUCGGAUUGUAAACUUCUUUGAUUGGGGACGAAUAAUGACGGUACCCAAAAAACAAGCCACGGCUAACUACGUGCCAGCAGCCGCGGUAAUACGUAGGUGGCAAGCGUUGUCCGGAGUUACUGGGUGUAAAGGGCGUGUAGGCGGGAAGAUAAGUCAGAUGUGAAAUUCCAUGGCUCAACUGUGGCGCUGCAUCUGAAACUAUUUUUCUUGAGUGAUGGAGAGGAAAGUGGAAUUCCUAGUGUAGCGGUGAAAUGCGUAGAUAUUAGGAGGAACACCGAUGGCGAAGGCAGCCCCCUGGGUCGACACUGACGCUCAUGCACGAAAGCGUGGGGAGCAAACAGGAUUAGAUACCCUGGUAGUCCACGCCCUAAACGAUGCGAACUAGGUGUUGGGGAAGGAGACUUCUUUAGUACCGUAGCUAACGCGUGAAGUUCGCCGCCUGGGGAGUACGGUCGCAAGAUUAAAACUCAAAGGAAUUGACGGGGACCCGCACAAGCGGUGGAUGAUGUGGAUUAAUUCGAUGCAACGCGAAAAACCUUACCUACCCUUGACAUGCCCGGAACCCUGCUGAGAGGUGGGGGUGCCCGAAAGGGAAUCGGGACACAGGUGCUGCAUGGCUGUCGUCAGCUCGUGUCGUGAGAUGUUGGGUUAAGUCCCGCAACGAGCGCAACCC